rnacentral:rRNA from 1 species
GACGAACGCUGGCGGCGUGCUUAACACAUGCAAGUCGAACGGAAAGGCUCCAGCUUGCUGGAGUACUCGAGUGGCGAACGGGUGAGUAACACGUGGGUAAUCUGCCCUGCACUCUGGGAUAAGCCUGGGAAACUGGGUCUAAUACUGGAUAUGACCUUUCUCCUUAUGGGGUUUGGUGGAAAGUUUUUCGGUGUAGGAUGAGCCCGCGGCCUAUCAGCUUGUUGGUGGGGUGAUGGCCUACCAAGGCGACGACGGGUAGCCGGCCUGAGAGGGUGAUCGGCCACAUUGGGACUGAGAUACGGCCCAGACUCCUACGGGAGGCAGCAGUGGGGAAUAUUGCACAAUGGGCGGAAGCCUGAUGCAGCGACGCCGCGUGAGGGAUGACGGCCUUCGGGUUGUAAACCUCUUUCAACAGGGACGAAGCGUAAGUGACGGUACCUGCAGAAGAAGCACCGGCUAACUAUGUG